GGGUCCUGUCCCCUCCCUUCCCAUCCGUCAGCGCGGCGGGUCGCGGCUGCCGCUCCUCUGCCGGUGACCGCUGCUGUGUGCUGCGGCUGAGAAGGGAUUCUCCAGGGACUUUGGCCAAGAGCGUCCCCCUGCCCUCUGACUGUAGAGGUGCUCUGGAGAGGCUGCUGUGUCUGUGUUCGGUGGAAAACGAUAGCGGACUUGUCCUGACAAACGGUGGUUCAUGGAGGUGUGACAGUAAUUCUGCAGAGGUUUUUCUGUCUGAGUAGCUGUCAGGCAGCUCCUGAGGCCUGAAACACAGUGCUGGUGAUAGGUAGAGAAGCACAUCUUUAAGAAGAAACCAGAGCCAACCGGACCUUCAGUCUGGUUGUGACUGGCUUUUGGACAGGAUGCUUUGUUCAGAAGUUACAAAAAGUAAGUUACUUUCCAAAUCAGAUGUAAUAAAAAGAAACAGGUUUGCUAAGGAAAU